rnacentral:rRNA from 1 species
AUUGAACGCUGGCGGCAUGCCUAACACAUGCAAGUCGAGCGAGCGGCGGACGGGUGAGUAAUGUAUGGGGACUUCCCGAUAGAGGGGGCUAACUACUGGAAACGGUAGCUAAUUCCGCAUACUAUCGGAUAACCCAUAUGGGAUUAGCUAGUAGGGGAGGUAAUGGCUCACCUAGGAUACGAGCCCUAGCUGGUCUGAGAGGAUGAUCAGCCACACUGGGACUGAGACACGGCCCAGAAGCCUACGGAGGCAGCAGUGGGGAAUAUUGCACAAUGGGCGAAAGCCUGAAGCAGCCAUGCCGCGUGUAUGAAGAAGGCCCGAGGGUUGUAAAGUACUUUCAGUCGGGAGGCGUUACCGACAGAAGAAGCCCCGGCUAACUCCGUGCCAGCAGCCGCGGUAAUAC